rnacentral:rRNA from 1 species
AUACGGAGGAUGCAAGCGUUAUCCGGAUUUAUUGGGUUUAAAGGGUGUGUAGGCGGUGUAUUAAGUCAGUGGUGAAAGCCUGCGGCUCAACCGUAGAACUGCCAUUGAUACUGACACACUUGAGUAUGGACGAGGUAGGCGGAAUUUAUGGUGUAGCGGUGAAAUGCAUAGAUACCAUAAAGAACACCGAUAGCGAAGGCAGCUUACUAGGCCAUAACUGACGCUGAGGCACGAAAGCGUGGGGAGCGAACAGGAUUAGAAACCCCAGUAGUCC